CUCCCUGACCCUUUAAGGGUCCUGAAGGAACGUUGAAGACGACGACGUUGAUAGGCCGGGUGUGUAAGCGCAGCGAUGCGUUGAGCUAACCGGUACUAAUGAACCGUGAGGCUUAACCUU
rnacentral:rRNA from 1 species